UUUCCGUAGGUGAACCUGCGGAAGGAUCAUUACAGAGUUCAUGCCCGAUAGGGUAGAGCUUCCUCGCUUGUGUAUUAUUACUUUGUUGCUUUGGCUUGCGCAAGCUCGCCAGCUAAUACCAAACCUCUUUUUAUUACUGUCGUCUGAUUACUAUAUGAUAUUUAAACCUUUCAACAAUGGAUCCCUUGUUUCUGGCAUUGAUUAAAAAUGCAACAGAUCGAACGAUCACACGUCUCAACGCCAGUCACGCCAACACAUCUCGAAUGCAGUCGUCU
rnacentral:misc_RNA from 1 species